rnacentral:sRNA from 1 species
AACCAGUUUCAUUUCAAGAAAAAUGUCGCGCAGAUGUGAUGCAUUAAAUGGGGAUAUUUUCUCAUUUGUCAACAGCGGUUUCCGAGUAUUUUCCUAGUAGAUACUCAACGUAUUUCCGCAGUGCGAGUUCUCUUGUCUUCCAUCUACAAAAUUAAAUACAAUUUUUGAUUCUUGGGGGAGAGGGAUACUAUAUUCCUCAGUCCAAAUCUAGUAAUCUUUAGGAAAUUUUGUUCCUUCUAUCUCAGCGGGACUUCGCGGCUGUCAUGCCAUGGGAAAUAUCAUCACUCUUAUUGCUUCCAUCACUAUUUAUUCUGUGUCAGCGGAAUUGGAUGGAAAGGCGCCAGCGAAUGCGGGGCAAGAAGGCGAACAUUUCGUUCCCUUACAACGACGUAUUUACGGUACGAUACAUACGCAAUGUUGCUCCGUAUUAUACCAUACAGUACACAGUAC